rnacentral:misc_RNA from 1 species
GAUGAAGAACGCAGCGAAAUGCGAUAAGUAAUGUGAAUUGCAAAAUUCAGUGAAUCAUCGAAUCUUUGAACGCACAUUGCGCCCGGCAGUAAUCUGCCGGGCAUGCCUGUCCGAGCGUCAUUUCACCCCUCGAGCCGCUUUUAGUGGAUCGGUGUUGGGGCACUACGGUAAAACGUAGGCCCUGAAAUGAAGUGGCGGUCCCGCCGCGGUGCCCCCAUGCGUAGUAACGUUUAGUCUCGCAUCGGGUCCCGGCGGAGGCCUGCCGUCAAGCCUAUUUAUUCUCAGAAUAGUUUGACCUCGGAUCAGGUAGGGUUACCCGCUGAACUUAAGCAUAUCAAUAAGCGGAGGA